rnacentral:rRNA from 1 species
UGCCAGCAGCCGCGGUAAUACGGAGGGUCCAAGCGUUAUCCGGAUUUACUGGGUUUAAAGGGUGCGCAGGCGGAACUUUAAGUCAGUGGUGAAAUACUGCCGCUUAACGGUAGAAUUGCCAUUGAUACUGAGAGUCUUGAGUAUGGUUGAGGUAGGCGGAAUAUGUUGUGUAGCGGUGAAAUGCAUAGAUAUGACACAGAACGCCGAUUGCGGAGGCAGCUUACUAAGCCAUUACUGACACUGAGGCACGAAAGCGUGGGGAGCGAACAGGAUUAGAUA